rnacentral:rRNA from 1 species
GUUAACGCUGGCAGCGUGCAUAACACAUGCAAGUCGAACGGGACAUUUGGCGUAGCAAUACGUCGAAUGUCUAGUGGCAGACGAGUGAGUAACACGUAAGGAAUCUACCCUAGAGCGGGGAAUAACAUGCCGAAAGGUAUGCUAAUACCCCAUAUAAUCUUCUGGCGGCAUCGCCGGGGGAUGAAAGGCCGCAAGGCCACUCAAGGAGGAUCUUGCGGCCUAUCAGCUAGUUGGCGGGGUAAAAGCCCACCAAGGCUAUGACGGGUACCCGGCCUGAAAGGGCGACCGGGCACGGAGGCACUGAGACACGGGCCUCACUCCUACGGGAGGCAGCAGUGGGGAAUUUUGGACAAUGGGGGAAACCCUGAUCCAGCAACGCUGCGUGAAGGAUGAAGGUCUUCGGAUCGUAAACUUCUUUUCUAGGGGACGAACACCCGCAAGGGUUUGACGGUACUCUAGGAAUAAGCCACGGCUAAAUAUGU